rfam:Sus scrofa chromosome 6.
UCCCUGAUGGUUUAGUGGUUAGGACUCAGCACUUUUACUGUUGUGGCCUAGGUUCAAUCCCUGGUCGGGGAA